CAGCUAUGAACUAUCUCAGGAAUUUAGACUGACCAAACGACACCAUGUGGAAGGCGUCUUGAGGCGCAAAAACCGGAAUUAGGAGUAACGGUUCCGAUCGGCACUGGAAGAGGAACAGCGGAGAUCAUUAGCAAAUUGCAUUGGCUGAAUCUGUCAGAACUGGGUGGAAAACUGCCAAAAAAGGAUUACCAAGCAAAUCGGAAGAGCCCUCAGACGAGUACCGCAGGAUUAUUUGGAAUAGCUACCAGCGGUUACCAGUAAACCGGUUUUACGAACACCUCUGGACAGCCCCAUUUUCGGAGGAUUCGCUGCUCAGAUUCAAACCGACAGCCGGAGGAUUGCUCUCGGAAACUGCCAUUACCUCGGCCAUUACGCAAUGAUGAGAGCGCUGAAAGUGUGUCAGCUUUUUCUACAAAAUUGCUUCGUCGAAUGUGUCUAAUUUCAGAUAAAUAAGAACUAAAUAAAAAUAGCAUGCUUUGUUA